UACGUAGGGGGCUAGCGUUGUCCGGAAUCAUUGGGCGUAAAGCGCGCGUAGGCGGCCUGGUAAGUCCGCUGUGAAAGUCAAAGGCUCAACCUUUGAAUGUCAGCGGAUACUGCCAGGCUAGAGUCCGGAAGAGGCGAGUGGAAUUCCUGGUGUAGCGGUGGAAUGCGCAGAUAUCAGGAGGAACACCAACGGCGAAGGCAGCUCGCUGGGACGGUACUGACGCUGAGGCGCGAAAGCGUGGGGAGCGAACAGG
rnacentral:rRNA from 1 species